rnacentral:rRNA from 1 species
AUUGAACGCUGGCGGCAUGCCUUACACAUGCAAGUCGAACGGCAGCACGGACUUCGGUCUGGUGGCGAGUGGCGAACGGGUGAGUAAUGUAUCGGAACGUACCUUUCAGUGGGGGAUAACGUAGCGAAAGUUACGCUAAUACCGCAUAUUCUGUGAGCAGGAAAGCAGGGGAUCGCAAGACCUUGCGCUGAUUGAGCGGCCGAUAUCAGAUUAGCUAGUUGGUGAGGUAAAGGCUCACCAAGGCGACGAUCUGUAGCGGGUCUGAGAGGAUGAUCCGCCACACUGGAACUGAGACACGGUCCAGACUCCUACGGGAGGCAGCAGUGGGAAUUUUGGACAAAUGGGGGGCAACCCUGAUCCAGCCAUGCCGCGUGAGUGAAGAAGGCCUCGGUUGUAAGA